GAUGAAGAACGCAGCGAAAUGCGAUAAGUAAUGUGAAUUGCAGAAUUCAGUGAAUCAUCGAAUCUUUGAACGCACAUUGCGCCCUCUGGUAUUCCGGGGGGCAUGCCUGUUCGAGCGUCAUUAUAACCACUCAAGCUCUCGCUUGGUAUUGGGGUUCGCGGUUCCGCGGCCCCUAAAAUCAGUGGCGGUGCCUGUCGGCUCUACGCGUAGUAAUACUCCUCGCGAUUGAGUCCGGUAGGUCUACUUGCCAGCAACCCCCAAUUUUUACAGGUUGACUUCGGAUCAGGUAGGGAUACCCGCUGAACUUAAGCAUAUCAAUAAGCGGAGGA
rnacentral:misc_RNA from 1 species